rnacentral:rRNA from 1 species
AACGAACGCUGGCGGCAUGCCUAACACAUGCAAGUCGAACGAGACCUUCGGGUCUAGUGGCGCACGGGUGCGUAACGCGUGGGAAUCUGCCCUUGGGUUCGGAAUAACAGUUAGAAAUGACUGCUAAUACCGGAUAAUGUCUUCGGACCAAAGAUUUAUCGCCCAGGGAUGAGCCCGCGUAGGAUUAGCUAGUUGGUGAGGUAAAGGCUCACCAAGGCGACGAUCCUUAGCUGGUCUGAGAGGAUGAUCAGCCACACUGGGACUGAGACACGGCCCAGACUCCUACGGGAGGCAGCAGUGGGGAAUAUUGGACAAUGGCGAAAGCCUGAUCCAGCAAUGCCGCGUGAGUGAUGAAGGCCUUAGGGUUGUAAAGCUCUUUUACCCGGGAUGAUAAUGACAGUACCGGGAGAAUAAGCCCCGGCUAACUCCGUGCCAGCAGCCGCGGUAA